rnacentral:rRNA from 1 species
GAUGAACGCUGGCGGCGUGCCUAAUACAUGCAAGUCGAGCGAACAGACGAGGAGCUUGCUCCUCUGACGUUAGCGGCGGACGGGUGAGUAACACGUGGAAACCUACCUAUAAGACUGGGAUAACUUCGGGAAACCGGAGCUAAUACCGGAUAAUAUAUUGAACCGCAUGGUUCAAUAGUGAAAGACGGUUUUGCUGUCACUUAUAGAUGGAUCCGUGCCGCAUUAGCUAGUUGGUAAGGUAACGGCUUACCAAGGCGACGAUGCGUAGCCGACCUGAGAGGGUGAUCGGCCACACUGGAACUGAGACACGGUCCAGACUCCUACGGGAGGCAGCAGUAGGGAAUCUUCCGCAAUGGGCGAAAGCCUGACGGAGCAACGCCGCGUGAGUGAUGAAGGUCUUCGGAUCGUAAAACUCUGUUAUUAGGGAAGAACAAAUGUGUAAGUAACUAUGCACGUCUUGACGGUACCUAAUCAGAAAGCCACGGCUAACUACGUG